UGAUGCAAUCUUCUCCACUUUUAUAUGUUAUUUGAGCUAUGUCAUAUGAAGAUCUCCUUAGCAAGUGAUAUGUAUAGAAUUCAAUUUGACCUUGAAUGCCACAUUCAAUUGAUGAUCAUGUAUUUAUCACAUGUAAACUGUGAUUUUGUUCAAGCUCAAGAGGUUUCUGGAAUAUAACUGUUUGGGUAAUUUGUCUUUUCCUACUACCAGUAGUUCUUUAAAUUAUAAUUCACAACAGUUGCAAUGUUAAGUCCAAUGACACCCAGUGGCAUGGGAGAAGACUAAAAAGAAUUCUGAAAGUGGCAACGUCUAAAGUCUAAUAGUCUAAGUAAGUACAUGUCCUCUUUCUUUUUCAUUUUUUAUUCUCAAUACAAGAAGAAUUGGAAAAAACAAUAGUCUUGCUCCUAGUUUCUAUGACUCUCUUUACACUACUGCUACACAUGUGCAGAUGCUUUUUUUAGUUGGUUUUGAAACCAACAAAAGAUUUUCAAAGUUAUUUCUCUUGAUUUCAUUAUAUCGAUCUACUUUAAAUGAAAAUAAAAUCUACUUAUGAUAAAUUUUGCAUGAAGGUUGAUCUUGAUGUGCCAUAGCUCACUAGAAACCUUUAGAUAAGGUUGUAUUAUGUGCCAUAUAGAAAUAUGUCUUCCAUCUCAUUGAUGGUGCUUACAUGCUACUGCUUUUAUACAAAAUUAUAUACUUAAUUAUUGAAUGGGUUUGCCCCAUCCAUCUGAUGUUCAUUUUAUAUUUUUGAGUUUUGAAGUAUUAACUUGGAGGUUUUUCACAGAUUUGAAUGGAACUGCACAACAAAAGUCUAUUUCUUAUGUUCUGACAAGGAAUAUAAUUAUAAUGUAGAUGUUAUUAUUUUAUGUUGACUAUAUUUUAUUUACCAUUCCACAUCACUCUAUCAACUUGAUACUUUACUUUAUUCCAUGCUUAAAUUUUUGAAUUAUGACAUAUA
rnacentral:lncRNA from 1 species